AAUUAGUUUUUUAAUUGGAAAAUGGAAUGAAUGGUACCACUAAGAUAUCUUUUUUAGGACAUGUUUCGAAAUUUUAGUUUAAGUGAAAAUACUUAAGAACGUUUUUAAGACGAGAAGACCCUAUGAAGCUGAUAGAUCCUAAACAUUAUUAACGAUCUUGACAGAAAUCUAUUUUUUGGGGUAAAAAUUAAAAUUAUUAUUUAAAUUUAUAUAUAUUAAGUGAGCCUCUUGGAAUAAUAAAAAAGCUCCUCUAGGGAUAACAGCAUUAUACCUAUAAGAGUUCUUAUCAGAAUAGGUGU
rnacentral:rRNA from 1 species